rnacentral:rRNA from 1 species
UACAGAGGGGGCAAGCGUUGUUCGGAAUUACUGGGCGUAAAGGGCGCGUAGGCGGUUCGAUAAGUCCCGUGUGAAAUCCCUCGGCUCAACUGAGGAACUGCACGGGAAACUGACGGGCUUGAGUUCGGGAGAGGGAAGCGGAAUUCCGGGUGUAGCGGUGAAAUGCGUAGAUAUCCGGAGGAACACCGGUGGCGAAGGCGGCUUCCUGGACCGACACUGACGCUGAGGCGCGAAAGCUAGGGGAGCAAACGGG